AGCGGCCCAGCACGGGGCACAGGGAGCAUCUGUGUUGUGGCUGCGAAACGCUGCUGGGCUGGGGAAGCGUGAAGGGCUCCCCACCCAGGACGGCAUCCGUGAAGUCUGCGCUGGGGCAGGCCCCUCCCAGAACACACCAGCGUGAGCCUGGACCCCCCUGGAAAUGGGUUCUUACAGAAACUCCUGAUGUUCCAGGUUAAGCCGGGCCCUGAAGCAGCCGGACCUUCUGGGCCUUGAGCCUUCUUCCCUCGGUGCCUCUGUGUCAAAUCUCCUUUCUCUUAUGAGGACACCAGUCAUUGGAUUUAGGACCCACGGUGAUCCAGGAUGGUCUCAUCACGAGAGCCUUAACUUCAUCGCAUCUGCAAGACCCUCUUUCCAAAUAAGGUCACAUAUGCCCAGGUGCUGGGGGUUAGGAUGUGGACCUGUCGUUUUAAAGGCCAGAAAUGAAAGAUGCCGUAAAGGAUGCUGUGGCUCCAGUUCACUCGCUCGCCCUUUGUGCCACCCAGACCUGACCCCUGACCCUCGCUGCUCUUCAACUCAGACAAGCAUAAGAAAAAGAGGAAACUUGAGGUGUGUG